AAAAUGCCUAGAUGAGCGUUCACCGCUCCAUAAACA
rnacentral:tRNA from 1 species